CACUCUCGAGCUGAACGAAAACGGGAAAGAGCACGCCUGGCAGAGCGAGAACAA
rnacentral:sRNA from 1 species